UGUUUUCUUGUCAUGCAUAUUCAUUAUGUCUUCCCUUCUGGUCAAACAUAUUUUAAAGAAUCAUUCGUUGCUUUUUAGUUUGUGAUAUAAUUUAGAAGCUGAUACAUAGAAAUAAAGCUUGAUUUAUCAUCAUGCUGUCUGCUAAAGAUUAUAACUUGUUUUAGGUGAUUAAGUAGACAGGUCAAAGUUUAGUGAAUGGCUUGCCACCAUUGAAAUAUUAAAAAUAAAACAAAAACAGUGCUUGGCUAAUAAGCUCUUGAAAAGAACCUUCAACACCCCACUCUGUAACGUCAUUUAUUUAAAGGCAGCAGUGUGAAGUGGAAAAGAAAGGUACCAUCAGCUACUUUAGUGGGGUGCAAGAAGAAUCUAAGACCACUGCCUUCUAGAUAGUUGAAGGAAAACACUGAAUUGAAAAAUCUUCAAUGUGAAUAAUGGUAAAAGCACACUGGGAUAUUUCUAUCUGUACAUAAUAUUAGGACAUUGCUGGAUGAUUCAGAGUGAAGUCCUUUACAUAUUAGUAUGAAUUAUCUAAGUAUGGUCCUAUGAAAAUAAUUGGCUUAAAAGUAUGUCGGCUAAGAAUAAGAUCAAGAGUUUAUUUUAUUCAGUUAGGAGAAUUAAUUCAAAAUUAAGCCAUAUUAAUGUGCUUUCUUUAUUAGUGAUGAAUUUGGCCUGCACGGUGAUUUUUUUUUUAUAUUUAAGGAAGUAUUUACAUCAAAAUUUGCACAACAGGAAUACAAUAACAUAUAUUAAUGCAUUAUUGUCCUUGGUGAUCAUUGAUUUUCUUAAGGAAGAUUUUAUCUUAUUAUUAAAACAAAUAUUUUACACUUAAAAUCCUCUAGAUAUUUCCCACCUGUCUGUUAUGAAAAGGAAAAUACCUGAUAUCUCCUUUACCUAAUAGUAUAUAAUUCUAAACAAGAUAAAGACAUACAAAUAAAAAAGUGAAUUCUUUAGACAUAUUAGUAUGCCACGUGUCAACUAAG
rnacentral:lncRNA from 1 species